rnacentral:lncRNA from 1 species
GACUGGCCUGGAACUCACUGUGUAGACCAGGUUAGCUCUGGACUCAGAUCCACCUGCCACUGCCUUCCAAGUGCUGGGAUUAAAUUAGGUGUAUAUUAGGACUCUGUUGGUGGGGAGAGAGUUGAACUGAGGACCUCCCACAAUCCCUGAGCAUAUCCUAACACCAUUUCACUAUUUUUUUAUUUUGAAACAAAAACUCACAAUAUGGACAGGCUGGCGUCAAUGGGCUUCUAUUGUCUUACCUCUGCCUCCCAUUAAUACAUGUGAGAUUAAAAUGCAUGCCCCACUAACCCUGGCCUUUGGUAGUUUUGCUUAUAGUUUUUCAAUCUGCAGCUGAGACAAUCACCUCUGAGAGGAUAGUGGUUCAGAUGUUUUGAAUUGAUCCAUAGCUCCAACAAAGCCACACACUUGGAAGGGUUGAAUAGGGAAGACUGUAAAAUGCAGGCUUUGUGUUUUGUUGUGUUGGGACUUGGGCUCAAGAUGCAUGGUAGAUGCUUUACCACUGUCCUACCUUUCAAGCCCUUUAUGUUUUGGGACAAGUUCUUAUUAAGUAUUGCAGGUUGGCUUGACCCAUGGGUGGGGACCCAGAACUCCAUUACACUCAUUGGAAAAAGGAGCUUUGCAGAUCAAUUUUAGACCUUAGGAAGAUCAUCCUAGACUUCUGAGUGGGCCACGUGGGUCCCAGAAAGUAUAGGUGUUUUGGAAAUGUGAAGCAAUUCAGUUUGCUGUUACUGGCUUUGAAGUAGCAGAAAGCAAAGGAAUGUAAGCAGCAUCAGGACUAAACCUGCCAACAGCAGUGAGGAAUUAGGGACCUUAGUCAUUCAACCCAGUGGAGCUGAACUCUGACAGUGCAGAUGAACUCAGAAACAAGAGUUUCC